UCUCUUCUGAGGUCUUUGGAAUGAAAAUGAAGACAGAGAGAUCCUGGAGGCUGAGGUCUAGAUCGGUCGCCAAGAUGGAAUCCAGGAGAAAACGUGCUCAACGUGCAGCUUGCUCCUAUGGAUUACAGCCUAGCAGAUGACAUAGUUCCACUGUGCUCUAGUCCAUUGUGGGAAUGAUGGGCCUCAUGCCUGGCGUCUGUCACAACCCAAUAUUUGGUGUUAUAACCCCUGCUCCCACCGCCCCACCAGCACAUCUCAGAAAUGUCGUUACUCUCUCAGUCACAUCUCAGAAACUGUGUUGCCUUCACGGUUACGCUUGUUUACGCUUGAGAACAAUUGGAGGCCUUUCCAUAUCUAAAGCUGGCAUUCAGUGCUACCUCUGCAGGAUUUGGGAAUAUAGCAUGUCUUGGUCUCUGAGAGCCAAUAUAUCUGG
rnacentral:lncRNA from 13 species